rfam:Nicotiana attenuata strain TT chromosome 2, whole genome shotgun sequence.
AUACCAUGGUGUGGACACGUAACUAGCAGACCCUUGAACCUCUCCCACAUUUCUUGUAAUGUCUCUGUUGGUUUCUGUCUGAAGCUCAAUAUCUCAUUAAUUUGUUG